UGGUUUGUUACCGGUGGUUGGCUCUCUGCUUUUGCAACAACUUCCACCUGGCAUUCCUCUUCAGUUUUGCGUCAAAGGUUGUACCUUGUGCGCUUAUGGUUUCUUGUGUUGCCUACCUGUGUAACGGUACUGUUCGAUUUUGUCGGUUUCGUUUUGUCUUCGCGUUGUACGUGGCGUGAGAUGAACAUUAAAGCAACUUCUGCGAUCCACCUUGUUGAUGCGCAUGCGUUGAUGAUGUGGCCCGUUGAGUUUGCUUGGUGUCUUGGAUACAGAACAUGAUUUGGGCGAGGGCCUCUGUGAUCCUCUGCCCUUGUUGAGCGCUGUUUACAUCUCUAUGAUGACCGCCUAGCCCGAAUUGGCUCGUACCACCGGGAGGUUAUGUUGUUGUAGAGUCGAUGCUAGCGUUCUUGCUUCUCUAAAACGAACGGCCUUGCCUGCAUGGGCUCGUACCAGCGGGUGGGCUAUGUCGAAGAGGGAUGCUACCUGGUUGAUCCUGCCAGUAGUCAUAUGCUUGUCUCAA
rnacentral:misc_RNA from 1 species